rnacentral:lncRNA from 1 species
GUCUGCUGUGGAUUACAUUGGUUUCCAUUGUUCCUGCAUUAUGUAAUUUGGAUACUACCAAUUCAUUAUCACUCAUACAUUGCAUUGUGGAUGGAACAGUGUUCUGCUGUGUACAAACAUAGCCAGAAACACUCUCUAUUAUUGGCAAAGCUUUUGAAGAUGUAACAGUUGACAAACAUUGUUGUUGCUCAUUGCAUUUAAAGUGUUGUCCAUCCUUUUCAACCGACUGCUCAGUCGGUGCACCAUUUGUGAUAUAAUCAUCAGUUGAUUGUUUUUUUUAGUAUAGGCAUCAUAUGCUCGAUCCUGAGUUGUAGCCUUAGAAUUUUCCAAUUUCUGCAUCUCCUUUAAGGAUUCUGUUGGGGAUUCUAUAUGCGAGGCAUCAGCCAUUUCAUUUACUACAUCAUUCUUCAAAAUGAACUGUUGAUCAGCAUCCUUCAUAUUCAUCCCUGCAAUUUCAGAGACUUUAACUCAUGAUUCUGAUUCGUG